CAGCGGAGGAGGAGGGAUCAAUGGAGAUGGAGAUUUCAUGGUUGGGGUGAGCGCACAUUCCGCGAGUGGAGGAGGGGUGUGAUCAAUCCAUUACACUUGGUAUAGCAAUUGAUACUGUUGAGUGUUCAUUGCGAAUAUAUCCUAUGACUAUUAGAGUGGUUUGGUUUAAGUGGAACUCGCAAAUGGAUUUCCUAGAGGACAACAACUGAAGAAAUUUACUCGAUUACUCUUUCCUCGAUCAUCCUCCAGCCAAUUUCCUUUGAUUCAAUCAAAGGUUUUUCAUUUCUCUUUUUUAAAUUCUUAUUAUUGUUCUUCCUUCUUUUUGGUAUUACAAGUAUGCUAUUCAUUUGGAAAUACGGUGAAUCAUAACAUCACCCUUUAGUUUAUCAUGAUUUCAAUUAGACUAUAAUAAUCUUGGGUGCUAAAUCUAUGGUUUUGAUUUCAAAGAAGGGGAGAUUGAGAAGAUGGGUCAUCCAUGGCAGGGUGCAAGCGGCGGAGAAAGGGGGGUUGUCAAAGAUGAGGACUCACUCUGUGAUCUCAAUCUUCUCUUCCCUCCCUCCUUCUCCAGGGUCAUGUAUAGCCAAACUUCAUGCCACUAAAGUAGGAGAAUUCUAUAGUUCUUCCUCUUCUUCGCCUCAAAUUGAAGAAAAUUUGUGCAAGUUGGGAGCUAUUUACCCUUAAUUUAGUAGAGC